rnacentral:rRNA from 1 species
GACGAACGCUGGCGGCGUGCUUAACACAUGCAAGUCGAACGGUGAAGCUCCAGCUUGCUGGAGUGGAUCAGUGGCGAACGGGUGAGUAACACGUGAGCAACCUGCCCCUGACUCUGGAAUAAGCGCUGGAAACGGCGUCUAAUACUGGAUACGAGAAGGGUCCGCAUGGGCACUUUCUGGAAAGUUUUUCGGUUGGGGAUGGGCUCGCGGCCUAUCAGCUUGUUGGUGAGGUAAUGGCUCACCAAGGCGACGACGGGUAGCCGGCCUGAGAGGGCGACCGGCCACACUGGGACUGGGACACGGGCCAGAAUUCUACGGGAGGGAAGAGUGGGGAAUAUUGCACAAUGGGCGAAAGCCUGAUGCAGCGACGCCGCGUGAGGGAUGACGGCCUUCGGGUUGUAAACCUCUUUCAGCAGGGAAGAAGCGAAAGUGACGGUACCUGCAGAAGAAGCACCGGCUAACUACGUG